rfam:Camelus ferus unplaced genomic scaffold scaffold2485, whole genome shotgun sequence.
GAGGGUAUAGCUCAAGUGGUAGAGCACAUGCUUAGCAUAUAUAAGGUCCUGGGUUCAAUCUCCAGUACCUCCU